rnacentral:rRNA from 1 species
CAGCCGCCACGGUAAUACGUAGGUGGCAAGCGUUGUCCGGAAUUAUUGGGCGUAAAGGGCUCGCAGGCGGUUUCUUAAGUCUGAUGUGAAAGCCUCCGGCUCAACCGGGGAGGGUCAUUGGAAACUGGGAAACUUGAGUGCAGAAGAGGAGAGUGGAAUUCCACGUGUAGCGGUGAAAUGCGUAGAGAUGUGGAGGAACACCAGUGGCGAAGGCGACUCUCUGGUCUGUAACUGACGCUGAGGAGCGAAAGCGUGGGGAGCGAACAGGAUUAGAUACCCCCGUAGUCCCUGUCUCUUAUAC